rnacentral:rRNA from 1 species
CCUACGGGGGGCUGCAGUGAGGAAUAUUGGUCAAUGGCCGGAAGGCUGAACCAGCCAAGCCGCGUGAAGGACGAAGGUGCCAAGCAUUGUAAACUUCUUUUGUCAAGGGACAAAAUCAGGCUCGAGAGCCUGACCGAGGGUACUUGAAGAAAAAGAAUCGGCUAACUCCGUACCAGCAGCCGCGGUAAUACGGAGGAUGCGAGCGUGAUCCGGAUUUAUUGGGUUUAAAGGGUGCGUAGGCGGACUGUUAAGUCAGCGGUAAAAGCCCGGGGCUCAACCCCGGCGAGCCGUUGAAACUGGCGGUCUUGAGAUGUCGAGAGGUAUGCGGAAUGCGAAGUGUAGCGGUGAAAUGCUUAGAUAUUGCGCAGAACUCCGAUUGCGAAGGCAGCAUACCGGCGGCGAUCUGACGCUGAGGCACGAAAGCGUGGGUAUCGAACAGGAUUAGAUACCCUAGUAGUC